rnacentral:rRNA from 1 species
GCGAUACAGGGUGACAGCCCCGUACACAAAAAUGCACAUAUUGUGAGCUCGAUGAGUAGGGCGGGACACGUGGUAUCCUGUCUGAAUAUGGGGGGACCAUCCUCCAAGGCUAAAUACUCCUGACUGACCGAUAGUGAACCAGUACCGUGAGGGAAAGGCGAAAAGAACCCCGGCGAGGGGAGUGAAAAAGAACCUGAAACCGUGUACGUACAAGCAGUGGGAGCCUCUUUAUGGGGUGACUGCGUACCUUUUGUAUAAUGGGUCAGCGACUUAUAUUCUGUAGCAAGGUUAACCGAAUAGGGGAGCCGAAGGGAAACCGAGUCUUAACUGGGCGUUAAGUUGCAGGGUAUAGACCCGAAACCCGGUGAUCUAGCCAUGGGCAGGUUGAAGGUUGGGUAACACUAACUGGAGGACCGAACCGACUAAUGUUGAAAAAUUAGCGGAUGACUUGUGGCUGGGGGUGAAAGGCCAAUCAAACCGGGAGAUAGCUGGUUCUCCCCGAAAGCUAUUUAGGUAGCGCCUCGUGAAUUCAUCUCCGGGGGUAGAGCACUGUUUCGGCAAGGGGGUCAUCCCGACUUACCAACCCGAUGCAAACUGCGAAUACCGGAGAAUGUUAUCACGGGAGACACACGGCGGGUGCUAACGUCCGUCGUGAAGAGGGAAACAACCCAGACCGCCAGCUAAGGUCCCAAAGUCAUGGUUAAGUGGGAAACGAUGUGGGAAGGCCCAGACAGCCAGGAUGUUGGCUUAGAAGCAGCCAUCAUUUAAAGAAAGCGUAAUAGCUCACUGGUCGAGUCGGCCUGCGCGGAAGAUGUAACGGGGCUAAACCAUGCACCGAAGCUGCGGCAGCGACACUAUGUGUUGUUGGGUAGGGGAGCGUUCUGUAAGCCUGUGAAGGUGGCCUGUGAGGGUUGCUGGAGGUAUCAGAAGUGCGAAUGCUGACAUAAGUAACGAUAAAGCGGGUGAAAAGCCCGCUCGCCGGAAGACCAAGGGUUCCUGUCCAACGUUAAUCGGGGCAGGGUGAGUCGACCCCUAAGGCGAGGCCGAAAGGCGUAGUCGAUGGGAAACAGGUUAAUAUUCCUGUACUUGGUGUUACUGCGAAGGGGGGACGGAGAAGGCUAUGUUGGCCGGGCGACGGUUGUCCCGGUUUAAGCGUGUAGGCUGGUUUUCCAGGCAAAUCCGGAAAACCAAGGCUGAGGCGUGAUGACGAGGCACUACGGUGCUGAAGCGACAAAUGCCCUGCUUCCAGGAAAAGCCUCUAAGCAUCAGGUAACAUCAAAUCGUACCCCAAACCGACACAGGUGGUCAGGUAGAGAAUACCAAGGCGCUUGAGAGAACUCGGGUGAAGGAACUAGGCAAAAUGGUGCCGUAACUUCGGGAGAAGGCACGCUGAUAUGUAGGUGAAGCGACUUGCUCGUGGAGCUGAAAUCAGUCGAAGAUACCAGCUGGCUGCAACUGUUUAUUAAAAACACAGCACUGUGCAAACACGAAAGUGGACGUAUACGGUGUGACGCCUGCCCGGUGCCGGAAGGUUAAUUGAUGGGGUUAGCGGUAACGCGAAGCUCUUGAUCGAAGCCCCGGUAAACGGCGGCCGUAACUAUAACGGUCCUAAGGUAGCGAAAUUCCUUGUCGGGUAAGUUCCGACCUGCACGAAUGGCGUAAUGAUGGCCAGGCUGUCUCCACCCGAGACUCAGUGAAAUUGAACUCGCUGUGAAGAUGCAGUGUACCCGCGGCAAGACGGAAAGACCCCGUGAACCUUUACUAUAGCUUGACACUGAACAUUGAGCCUUGAUGUGUAGGAUAGGUGGGAGGCUUUGAAGUGUGGACGCCAGUCUGCAUGGAGCCGACCUUGAAAUACCACCCUUUAAUGUUUGAUGUUCUAACGUUGGCCCGUAAUCCGGGUUGCGGACAGUGUCUGGUGGGUAGUUUGACUGGGGCGGUCUCCUCCUAAAGAGUAACGGAGGAGCACGAAGGUUGGCUAAUCCUGGUCGGACAUCAGGAGGUUAGUGCAAUGGCAUAAGCCAGCUUGACUGCGAGCGUGACGGCGCGAGCAGGUGCGAAAGCAGGUCAUAGUGAUCCGGUGGUUCUGAAUGGAAGGGCCAUCGCUCAACGGAUAAAAGGUACUCCGGGGAUAACAGGCUGAUACCGCCCAAGAGUUCAUAUCGACGGCGGUGUUUGGCACCUCGAUGUCGGCUCAUCACAUCCUGGGGCUGAAGUAGGUCCCAAGGGUAUGGCUGUUCGCCAUUUAAAGUGGUACGCGAGCUGGGUUUAGAACGUCGUGAGACAGUUCGGUCCCUAUCUGCCGUGGGCGCUGGAGAACUGAGGGGGGCUGCUCCUAGUACGAGAGGACCGGAGUGGACGCAUCACUGGUGUUCGGGUUGUCAUGCCAAUGGCACUGCCCGGUAGCUAAAUGCGGAAGAGAUAAGUGCUGAAAGCAUCUAAGCACGAAACUUGCCCCGAGAUGAGUUCU